GUAGGUGAACCUGCGGAGGGAUCAUUACACAAUAUGAAGGCGGGCUGGACAAACCCCCCUAGCUGGGCACUGCUUCACGGCGGUGCGCGGUUUGGGUGGCCGGCCCUGCUGAACUAUUCACCCGUGUCUUUUGCGUACCUCUUGUUUCCUGGGCGGGCUCGCCCGCCACCAGGACCAACCAUAAACCUUUUUGUAAUAGCAAUCCGCGUCAGUAAACAAUGUAAUCAAUUACAACUUUCAACAACGGAUCUCUUGGUUCUG
rnacentral:misc_RNA from 1 species